CUCAGCCCCAGAGGACCAACCUGGACACCCAACAGGACCAGCGAUCUACCCAGGGCCAGGCUCCUGAUGCUGGGUAUACACAUCUGCAGCAAGGUGGCGCUAACAUCUAUGAUACAAUCACUCCCUCAGAUAAUAAUGACAGUGGUACUGUACACUUUGUGAAAUUUAGCAUGAAUACAGUAUAGAGUUGUUGUUGCCGUUGUUCUUCAUAUGGUUAAUUUUACUAACAUACGUAAGUAGAGAUAUUAGUGUAUUACCUGUAUAUUUCAGAUGCUGAUGCUGCUGGAUCAAGUGAUGUGACACGCCCAGAUUCAAGUCAAAAAGUUGGACAAGAAAAAGAAAAAAAUGCAAGCUGAUCCAAAAGAAAAUCCAGUCUAUUCUGAGGUCAUGACAGGGAAGACCACAGCAGCAACUGGACUUGUUCAUGUGACCUAUCCUGAGGUUGACCUUAAACAGAAGGCCAACGCCAAGAAGAAGAAAGAAAUAUCCACCCCACCUGAGGCAGAUUCAGUCUAUUCUCAAGUGAAGCCAGGCACAUCCCCAGGU